rnacentral:tRNA from 1 species
GGGGAUGUAGCUCAGUGAUAAGAGUGCUUGCCUAACAUGUAUGAAACCCUGUGUUCAAUUCUCAGUAUUCCAA